GACGAACGCUGGCGGCGUGCUUAACACAUGCAAGUCGAACGGAAAGGCCCUGCUUUUGUGGGGUGCUCGAGUGGCGAACGGGUGAGUAACACGUGAGUAACCUGCCCUUGACUUUGGGAUAACUUCAGGAAACUGGGGCUAAUACCGGAUAGGAGCUCCUGCUGCAUGGUGGGAGUUGGAAAGUUUCGGCGGUUGGGGAUGGACUCGCGGCUUAUCAGCUUGUUGGUGGGGUAGUGGCUUACCAAGGCUUUGACGGGUAGCCGGCCUGAGAGGGUGACCGGCCACAUUGGGACUGAGAUACGGCCCAGACUCCUACGGGAGGCAGCAGUGGGGAAUAUUGCACAAUGGGCGGAAGCCUGAUGCAGCAACGCCGCGUGCGGGAUGACGGCCUUCGGGUUGUAAACCGCUUUCGCCUGUGACGAAGCGUGAGUGACGGUAAUGGGUAAAGAAGCACCGGCUAACUACGUGCCAGCAGCCGCGGUGAUACGUAGGGUGCGAGCGUUGUCCGGAUUUAUUGGGCGUAAAGGGCUCGUAGGUGGUUGAUCGCGUCGGAAGUGUAAUCUUGGGGCUUAACCCUGAGCGUGCUUUCGAUACGGGUUGACUUGAGGAAGGUAGGGGAGAAUGGAAUUCCUGGUGGAGCGGUGGAAUGCGCAGAUAUCAGGAGGAACACCAGUGGCGAAGGCGGUUCUCUGGGCCUUUCCUGACGCUGAGGAGCGAAAGCGUGGGGAGCGAACAGGCUUAGAUACCCUGGUAGUCCACGCUGUAAACGGUGGGUACUAGGUGUGGGGUCCAUUCCACGGGUUCCGUGCCGUAGCUAACGCUUUAAGUACCCCGCCUGGGGAGUACGGCCGCAAGGCUAAAACUCAAAGGAAUUGACGGGGCCCCGCACAAGCGGCGGAGCAUGCGGAUUAAUUCGAUGCAACGCGUAGAACCUUACCUGGGUUUGACAUGGAUCGGGAGUGCUCAGAGAUGGGUGUGCCUCUUUUGGGGUCGGUUCACAGGUGGUGCAUGGCUGUCGUCAGCUCGUGUCGUGAGAUGUUGGGUUAAGUCCCGCAACGAGCGCAACCCUUGUUCACUGUUGCCAGCACGUUAUGGUGGGGACUCAGUGGAGACCGCCGGGGUCAACUCGGAGGAAGGUGGGGAUGACGUCAAGUCAUCAUGCCCCUUAUGUCCAGGGCUUCACGCAUGCUACAAUGGCUGGUACAGAGAGUGGCGAGCCUGUGAGGGUGAGCGAAUCUCGGAAAGCCGGUCUCAGUUCGGAUUGGGGUCUGCAACUCGACCUCAUGAAGUCGGAGCCGCUAGUAAUCGCAGAUCAGCAACGCUGCGGUGAAUACGUUCCCGGG
rnacentral:rRNA from 1 species